GUUACAGAUGAAGAUACCAGGACCUGACUUCCCUCUCCCAAUAUAAUAAGGCUUAUUACACUUUUCUUAACAACUGACCUAGGUAGGAGGACAUAGGAGAAUUCUAGAAAGCGGGGAAAAUCCUAAAAAGCUGAUACCCUGAACUGGCAGCUGAAAUUUUAACCUGAAAUACGUGAAAUAACUUCAAUUGUCAAGAUCAAUAAUUUCUCAUCAUCAAAGAGAGAAAGGGAACUUUCUAAAAUAAAGGCAUUUACUGUUUCUGUUACAACUGGAAAGAUUUUCUUCAAAAUGCACACACACAAAAAGAGUUUUCUAACAUAAUUGGGCAAUAGACAGAAGACAGAAGAUAAGGAAAAGUUGAAAUUUAAAAAAAAAAUCAGUUAACAACUUGGUAUAACAGAAACUUGCUGAGAUGCAACUGACAUUUAUGAACAAGAUAAAAAAGUGAAAGAAAAACUAGGAAAGAAAGGAAGGAGCCGGGAAGAAGACGGAUCAAGAAAGGAAGAGUGUAACCAGGAAGGGAAGUGGGAGGGGAGGAGGGAAACACAGAGGGGAGUGAUAACAUGUAUGGCUCCUGGCUGGGUGGGUGGGCUGUCUGAAAGAUCAUAGUACGUCAGCCUGUUUGUUGAACUGCCCUAAAUGUAAGAAAUGAGUGGCCUUACAGGACGCCAAUGUACAAUUGGCCAUCUGUGUGUUCUACAUGCCUUAUGGUAUUUCUAAACCAGUAUUUGAUCUCAGGUAUGCUCUAAUACCAUCAAUUAAUACCACUGGCAAUACACAGCUAAUAAACAGAAACUUAUGUGUCACAAAAAAUAUUUUAUUAAAAUAUAACCAAAAUUUUAAAAUUGAUUCUCUACCUCUACAAUUUAUAGUACUAGUUUGGACUAUUAACAAUGA
rnacentral:lncRNA from 1 species